GAGGGUAUAGCUCAGUGGUAGAGUACAUGCUUAGCAUGUGCAAGGUCCUGGGUUCAAUCCCCAGUACCUCCA
rnacentral:tRNA from 1 species